UAUUUCCCUCAUUCAGUUCGCAUGCCCUAACCUGCUCCGACGCCGACAAAGCAAUCUGCCACCGACGUCGGCCAAGCACUCGUAUGGACAUACCCACUCUCUUCCCCCAAGAUUUCUGAUGGCCUGAGUUAUUUUCCAUUGUCUCUGCCCCAGACCAUCUACCCUUCAGUUCUCCAGAAUUUUCAGAAUCUCUACAGCCACAACCAAGCAGUGAUUCAAAGGAUGAUACUUAAGAGGGCUGUUAGCUUAAGCAAUAAUAAUAGGCCACAUAUCAGCAUGUGUCUCAUUCUCUAAGAUUAUUUGAUGAGGUGGAAGGAUUUGGUUUGUGGUUUUGGACAGAGGACCAUUUGAGAAGAUGAUUGAUGAGUUUGAGCAGAUCAAGCAACAAUUGGCAGAGUGUUUGGGAAUUCCAUGAUAUUAGAUCACAGUCCCUAUCCCACAGGUGUUAAAGAUCAUGACUACAAAACUUGGAAUUACAAAAGUUUCCUAGGCCAUGGAAGUGGUUCUAAAGAAGCUACUCCUAGUGGUAAAAGUUGAAGAAAUGCAGAGGAAAAUUGAUGAUGAUGAAUGUAUAGCUCUGUAUACAUAUGGAGAACUUGACUUGAAGGAUAAUUAGGUAUAGGAAUUUUGGUGUAUUAUUGUAAUUAGGCUUGCAGCUUGCAGCUAGCGGCCUUAGAGUAUUUUCAUUUUUUAGAUUUUAUUUUGUUCUAUUGUUCUCUUGAUAUUCUGUUUAUGAAAGAAACAAUUUUUGAGUA